GUGGGGAAUAUUGGGCAAUGGGCGAAAGCCUGACCCAGCAACGCCGCGUGAGGGAAGAAGGCCUUCGGGUUGUAAACCUCUGUCCUUGGUGACGAAACAAAUGACGGUAGCCAAGGAGGAAGCCCCGGCUAACUACGUGCCAGCAGCCGCGGUAAUACGUAGGGGGCGAGCGUUGUCCGGAAUUACUGGGCGUACAGGGUGCGUAGGUGGCCUUUUAAGUUGGAUGUGAAAUACCCGGGCUUAACUUGGGGGGUGCAUCUAAUACUGGAGGGCUAGAGUGCAGGAGAGGGAAGCGGAAUUCCUAGUGUAGCGGUGAAAUGCGUAGAUAUUAGGAGGAACACCAGUGGCGAAGGCGGCUUUCUGGACUGUAACUGACACUGAGGCACGAAAGCGUGGGGAGCAAACAGGAUUAGAAACCCCGGUAGUCC
rnacentral:rRNA from 1 species